rnacentral:rRNA from 1 species
AUACGGAGGAUGCGAGCGUUAUCCGGAUUUAUUGGGUUUAAAGGGUGCGUAGGCGGGCUGUUAAGCGUGAGGUGAAAGCUCGGGACUCAACCCCGGAACUGCCUCGCGAACUGGCGGUCUUGAAUGUCCGUGCCGUGGGAGGAAUGUGUGGUGUAGCGGUGAAAUGCAUAGAGAUCACACAGAACACCGAUUGCGAAGGCAUCUCACGGACGGAUGAUUGACGCUGAGGCACGAAAGCGUGGGGAUCAAACAGGAUUAGAUACCCUGGUAGUCCACGCAGUAAACGAUGAUGGCUAACCGCUGGUUUAUUCGGAUCAGUGGCCAAGCGAAAGCGAUAAGCCAUCCACCUGGGGAGUACGACCGCAAGGUUGAAACUCAAAGGAAUUGACGGGG